GACGAACGCUGGCGGCGUGCUUAACACAUGCAAGUCGAACGGUGAAGGGGCCUGCUUUUGUGGGCCCUGGAUGAGUGGCGAACGGGUGAGUAACACGUGAGUAACCUGCCCCCUUCUUCUGGAUAACCGCAUGAAAGUGUGGCUAAUACGGGAUAUUCUGGGUCUGUCGCAUGAUGGGUCUGGGAAAGAUUGCGCCUUUGGGUGUUUUUGGUGGGGGAUGGGCUCGCGGCCUAUCAGCUUGUUGGUGGGGUGAUGGCCUACCAAGGCGGUGACGGGUAGCCGGCCUGAGAGGGUGGACGGUCACACUGGGACUGAGACACGGACCAGACUCCUACGGGAGGCAGCAGUGGGGAAUAUUGCACAAUGGGCGCAAGCCUGAUGCAGCGACGCCGCGUGAGGGAUGGAGGCCUUCGGGUUGUAAACCUCUUUCGCCAGUGAAGCAGGCCUGCUCCUUGUGGGUGGGUUGACGGUAGCUGGAUAAGAAGCGCCGGCUAACUACGUG
rnacentral:rRNA from 1 species